rnacentral:rRNA from 1 species
GAUGAACGCUGGCGGCGUGCCUAAUACAUGCGAGUCGAGCGAACGGACGAGAAGCUUGCUUCUCUGAUGUUAGCGGCGGACGGGGGAGUAACACGUGGAUAACCUACCUAUAAGACUGGGAUAACUUCGGGAAACCGGAGCUAAUACCGGAUAAUAUUUUGAACCGCAUGGUUCAAAAGUGAAAGACGGUCUUGCUGUCACUUAUAGAUGGAUCCGCGCUGCAUUAGCUAGUUGGUAAGGUAACGGCUUACCAAGGCAACGAUGCAUAGCCGACCUGAGAGGGUGAUCGGCCACACUGGAACUGAGACACGGUCCAGACUCCUACGGGAGGCAGCAGUAGGGAAUCUUCCGCAAUGGGCGAAAGCCUGACGGAGCAACGCCGCGUGAGUGAUGAAGGUCUUCGGAUCGUAAAACUCUGUUAUCAGGGAAGAACAUAUGUGUAAGUAACUGUGCACAUCUUGACGGUACCUAAUCAGAAAGCCACGGCUAACUACGUG